rnacentral:rRNA from 1 species
CCUACGGUUGGCUGCAGUGAGGAAUAUUGGUCAAUGGGCGAAAGCCUGAACCAGCCAUGCCGCGUGCAGGAAGACGGCUCUAUGAGUUUUAAACUGCUUUUGUACGAGGGUAAACACAGAUACGUGCAUCUGCUUGAACGUAUCCUACGAAUAAGGAUCGGCUAACUCCGUGCCAGCAGCCGCGGUAAUACGGAGGAUCCACGCGUUAUCCGGAUUUAUUGGGUUUAACGGGUGCGUAGGCGGUUUAGUAAGUCAGCGGUGAAAUUUUGGUGCUCAACACCAGACGUGCCGUUGAUACUGUUGGGCUGGAGAGUAGUUGCGGUAGGCGGAAUGUAUGGUGUAGCGGUGAAAUGCUUAGAGAUCA